rnacentral:rRNA from 1 species
CAAACGGGUGCGGAACACGUACGCAACCUACCCAUAACUGGGGGAUAGCCCGGGGAAACCCGGAUUAAUACCUCGUAACAUAAUGAAGUGGCAUCGCUUUAUUAUUAUAGCUCCGGCGGUUAUGGACGGACGUGCGGCUGAUUAGGUAGUUGGCGGAGUAAUAGCCCACCAAGCCUGCGAUCAGUAACUGGUGUGAGAGCACGACCAGUCACACGGGCACUGAGACACGGGCCCG